rnacentral:rRNA from 1 species
GACGAACGCUGGCGGCGUGCCUAAUACAUGCAAGUUGAGCGCUGAAGGUUGGUACUUGUACCAACUGGAUGAGCAGCGAACGGGUGAGUAACGCGUGGGGAAUCUGCCUUUGAGCGGGGGACAACAUUUGGAAACGAAUGCUAAUACCGCAUACAAACUUUAAACACAAGUUUUAAGUUUGAAAGAUGCAAUUGCAUCACUCAAAGAUGAUCCCGCGUUGUAUUAGCUAGUUGGUGAGGUAAAGGCUCACCAAGGCGAUGAUACAUAGCCGACCUGAGAGGGUGAUCGGCCACAUUGGGACUGAGACACGGCCCAAACUCCUACGGGAGGCAGCAGUAGGGAAUCUUCGGCAAUGGACGAAAGUCUGACCGAGCAACGCCGCGUGAGUGAAGAAGGUUGUCGGAUCGUAAAACUCUGUUGGUAGAGAAGAACGUUGGUGAGAGUGGAAAGCUCAUCAAGUGACGGUAACUACACAGAAAGGGACGGCUAACUACGUG